GUGGCCUUGGUGUAGCAGCAGCACUACAGUCUGUGGCACUGUCAGCACGGGUGCGAAUCCCGUAGGCCACC
rnacentral:tRNA from 1 species